CACGGAGGGUGCAAGCGUUGUUCGGAAUUACUAGGCGUAAAGCGCGUGUAGGUGGUUAGUUAAGUCGGAUGUGAAAAUUCCAAGCUUAACUUGGAACCGGCAUUCGAAACUGGUUAACUUGAGUGUAGGAGAGGAGAGCGGAAUUCCUAGUGUAGCGGUGAAAUGCGUAGAUAUUAGGAAGAACACCGGUGGCGAAGGCGGCUCUCUGGCCUAAAACUGACACUGAGACGCGAAAGCGUGGGUAGCAAACAGGAUUAGAUACCCUGGUAGUCCACGCCGUAAACGAUGGGCAUUAGGUGUAGGAGGUAUCCAAUCCUUCUGUGCCGAAGUUAACGCAUUAAAUGCCCCGCCUGGGGAGUACGACCGCAAGGUUGAAACUCAAAGGAAUUGACGGGGGCCCGCACAAGCGGUGGAGCAUGUGGUUUAAUUCGAUGCAACGCGAAGAACCUUACCUGGGCUUGACAUGUACCUGAAUGUGCCAGAAAUGGUACAGUCCGAAAGGACGGGUACACAGGUGCUGCAUGGUUGUCGUCAGCUCGUGUCGUGAGAUGUUGGGUUAAGUCCCGCAACGAGCGCAACCCUCAUUCCUAGUUACCAUCGGGUAAUGCCGGGGACUCUAGGAAAAAUGCCCCGGAUAACGGGGAGGAAGGUGAGGACGACGUCAAGUCCGCAUGGCCUUUAUGCCCAGGGCAACACACGUGCUACAAUGGCCUGUACAAAGAGUAGCAAACUCGCGAGGGGGAGCUAAUCUCAAAAAUCAGGUCUCAGUUCGGAUUGAAGGCUGCAACUCGCCUUCAUGAAGUCGGAAUCGCUAGUAAUCGUGAAUCAGCACGUCACGGUGAAUACGUUCCCGGGCCU
rnacentral:rRNA from 1 species